AUGAUUUGCUGUUUGCUGAGACUCCCACCCAGCAGUAAUCAGCCACGAGAAGAGGAAUGCUGCACAUGCCCAGCUUGACAGAAAAACCAGGAAUGCAGGAAUCUUACCGGUUUGGCAAAAAGAGCUUACUUGGGUUUUCCACCAUUCAAGCCAUACAUAGAAGCUUCCACAAGGAAGGAUGACACAAAAGAACACUGCAAGAACAAACAGCAAAAUUCUUG